rnacentral:rRNA from 1 species
GGCGAACGCUGGCGGCGUGCUUAACACAUGCAAGUCGAACGCUGAAGCUCAGCUUUUGUUGGGUGGAUGAGUGGCGAACGGGUGAGUAACACGUGAGUAACCUGCCUCCUUCUUUGGGAUAACGCCCGGAAACGGGUGCUAAUACUGGAUAUUCACUGGUCUUCGCAUGGGGGUUGGUGGAAAGGGUUUUUCUGGUGGGGGAUGGGCUCGCGGCCUAUCAGCUGGUUGGUGGGGUGAUGGCCUACCAAGGCUUUGACGGGUAGCCGGCCUGAGAGGGUGACCGGUCACAUUGGGACUGAGAUACGGCCCAGACUACUACGGGAGGCAGCAGUGGGGAAUAUGGCACAAUGGGCGCAAGCCUGAUGCAGCGACGCCGCGUGAGGGAUGGAGGCCUUCGGGUUGUGAACCUCUUUCGCUCAUGGUCAAGCCGCAACAAUGGUUGUGGUGAGGGUAGUGGGUAAAGAAGCGCCGGCUAACUACGUG